rnacentral:rRNA from 2 species
UACGUAGGGGGCAAGCGUUGUCCGGAUUUAUUGGGCGUAAAGAGCUCGUAGGCGGCUCGGUAAGUCGGAUGUGAAACCUCCAGGCUCAACCUGGAGACGCCAUCUGAUACUGCCGUGGCUUGAGUCCGGUAGAGGAGCAGGGAAUUCCUGGUGUAGCGGUGAAAUGCGCAGAUAUCAGGAGGAACACCAGCGGCGAAGGCGCUGCUCUGGGCCGGUACUGACGCUGAGGAGCGAAAGCGUGGGGAGCGAACAGG